rnacentral:lncRNA from 1 species
GCACAUCAAACUGUCAUGUAUACCUUCUUUCAAGAAGUAGCAAUUAUAUCAUCAGACAGAAAAUUUUCCACAUAUAAUACAUGUACAAGAAUGACAUAUACACCGCACAGACCGCACAUUUUCAUACAUGAAUGACAUAACACGCUCUGUACUGUUCAGAUUGAUGCGGAAUUUGAUGCACCAUGGCGUACAUGAUGCACCUUCCCUACUAUUCAGAUUAGGUAGAUCGUUCGGUUCCAUAACACGCUCAUCCACGCGGCGCACGGAGGCAGACACAUUGGUCACCUGGAAGGCAGAGCAAGAGCAGCUGCGCAAGGCGGAGCUCGGGAGGACGCCGUGCCCAGCAGACUGUGGGACGGCGCGCCUUGGGGGGCGGUGGGGUGGCGCGUCGUGGGUGCCGGCAAGUGCGACUGCAAGUGGCUUCUAAAGUCUGACCUACCUGCAAUAGUCAAUAAUGUAUUAAUCCUGCACUCAUGUAUCCAAAGUGAUAUUCUCACAAGUUACUGGAGUUCGGCUGCUCCUUUACAUAGCAAGACUGCUGCUACUACUACAGAUUAAAUGAUGUAUACAUGUAGCCUAUACUAACAUAGAAGAGAUUAAACAUUGUCAAUUUGAUGUAAUUUUUUUGUUCUGUGUACUGACAUAGCAGUAAUAUAAGGCAAGACAUUUGAAGGAUUGCUCACACUAAAAUAAGAAAUUGUACUGAACUUAAAAUAAGAUUUGCACUGAACUAAAACUAGAUUUUGAACUGAACUAAAAUAGAUCUUUGUUUAGGCAUUUAAGCAAACACCUGACGGCAAAAAAAGUGACUGGCAUUUAGAAAUAAAGACGAUGGUAUAGAAAAAAUUCAUGCAAGAAUGAGAAGUACGACUCCGACAUUUUAGCAACAAACAAAGGAGUAGGGUAGCAAAUGUUCAAACUGAAACAAAUCCAUCUCUCUCUCAUAUUAACUCUUUGUCCAUGGAUCCAUGUGUUGUAGCAUGUGAACUCCAAAGCUAGCAAUAGUAGUAGCUUCCAUCUUGUAUAUCCCAAUCCCAGGCUGCAUGACUGCCAUGGACUCAUAACAAACCGCUUAUGCAUUUUAAACAAACACCUAGAAGGCAUGACAAUGGGCAAAAAAUCAAUUGUAGAGUUGCAGACUAGUGAGCCAACCAUAGAAUAGAGUGAAUGGAAGAGCUUGAACAAUCCACAGCAUAUACACACGAGAAUUGAGUUUCUGAAAAGAAUUUUAGUUAUGAUGUACUGAACUAAAACCACGUCAACAAUUUGCGAACAGAGGUAAUAAUAUACUAUAGGAGGAAUUUAUUUAAAUGUUUUUCAAUUUUUUGAACUUACGGUUCUCGCGAUUCCAAACAUCUAGAUCUCUGUUGUGCGAAGAUCUUGACUUUUUCCUGGCGACAAAUAAAAACGCUAUAAGUAAUACUGAAUUCCUGCAUCACGCCUUCAAGGGUGAACCACAUAGGAAGCUUGACCAAAAUCAUCAUGGGAGUUUAUAUUUGAACUAGCAACAAUUUAUUUUUUGAACUGACCUGGCAGUAAUACAUGAACUCUAGCACCCAAUACAAGUAUCAUGCGACAAUCUGUAAACAAAAAAAUAU